AUUGAACGCUGGCGGCAUGCCUUACACAUGCAAGUCGAACGGUAACGGGCCUUCGGGUGCCGACGAGUGGCGCACGGGUGAGUAAUACAUCGGAACGUGCCCGAUCGUGGGGGAUAACGAGGCGAAAGCUUUGCUAAUACCGCAUACGAUCUACGGAUGAAAGCAGGGGACCGCAAGGCCUUGCGCGGACGGAGCGGCCGAUGGCAGAUUAGGUAGUUGGUGGGAUAAAAGCUUUCCAAGCCGACGAUCUGUAGCUGGUCUGAGAGGAUGAUCAGCCACACUGGGACUGAGACACGGCCCAGACUCCUACGGGAGGCAGCAGUGGGGAAUUUUGGACAAUGGGCGCAAGCCUGAUCCAGCCAUGCCGCGUGCAGGAUGAAGGCCUUCGGGUUGUAAACUGCUUUUGUACGGAACGAAAAGCCUUCUUUUAAUACAGGAGGGUCAUGACGGUACCGUAAGAAUAAGCACCGGCUAACUACGUG
rnacentral:rRNA from 1 species